rnacentral:rRNA from 1 species
GAUGAACGCUGGCGGCGUGCCUAAUACAUGCAAGUCGAACGCAUUGUGGUUGAAAUGAUAUGAAGAACUUGUUCAGAUUUGAUUUUCAACAUUGCAAUGAGUGGCGAACGGGUGAGUAACACGUGGGAAACCUACCUCUUAGCAGGGGAUAACAUUUGGAAACAAAUGCUAAUACCGUAUAAUAAUUAAAACCGCAUGGUUUUAGUUUAAAAGAUGGUCUUGCUAUCACUAAGAGAUGGUCCCGCGGUGUAUUAGUUAGUUGGUGAGGUAAUGGCUCACCAAGACAAUGAUACAUAGCCGAGUUGAGAGACUGACCGGCCACAAUGGGACUGAGACACGGCCCAUACUCCUACGGGAGGCAGCAGUAGGGAAUCUUCCACAAUGGACGAAAGUCUGAUGGAGCAACGCCGCGUGUGUGAUGAAGGUUUCGGCUCGUAAACACUGUUGUAAGAGAAGAAUGACAUUGAGAGUAACUGUUCAAUGUGUGACGGUA